CAAUUACCGGGGAUGUUGCUUAGGAGAUAUAUAUUCCAUGGUGUCUGGCUCCUGUGUAGACCACUUUCUCCUGCAAACAACAUGGAUGACCAAACACAUUACUCUAAUGGCUGCUGAGGAAGCAUCUACUAAAGACGGUAAACAUGUCCAGAUUUAGUUUUCAUGAAUGUAGGUUUUCUUUCCCCCUCCAUGUUAUUUUUAUCUUGAAUUGAAAAAGAUUUUAACUUUUCAAACAUCGUGACCACUUCAGUGAUUAGAGGACAAAAGGGCUAGGGCAUAAUACUGUGCAUGUAUUUGGAGGUUGCUUGUGGGAUUGCGUGUGUGUAGGGCAGGGCCGCCAUCAGGGGGUGACGUGGAGCGGCGGAACUGCCGCUGGUGCAUCUGCACUGGGCCCCACACGCUGAUGGGGCCAAUCAGGUGACCCAAUGGGUCGUAUUAUCUUCAGGGGCCCAGUCAGCGCUGUAAUAGCACGACCUGGCCCCUUUAAAAAAAAAAAUGCAGUCGCAACGCAAGUGCUGCUGGGAGGAAGUGACAGCCGGCCACUUCCUCCCAGCUUACUCCGCGCUUGAAGGAGGACGCAGCCUGAAGGCCAAGAGGAGAGGCAGCCGACGCCCAUCAUCCCCAGCCACCCUCCUGCAAUGCAAAGGUAAGGAAGACGAGGGUGGCUGAAAAAUGAAUUGUAUGUUUGUAUGCAUGUAUGUGUAUGUAUGUAUGUAUGUAUGCCAGUAUGUGUCUGUCAGUAUGUAUGUAUAUAUCAGUAUUUAUGUAUGUCUGUCAGUAUGUAUGUCUGCAUGUAUAUGUUUGUGUGUGUCUGUCAGUAUGUGUGUAUGUCAGUGUGUGUGUGUGUGUGUAUCUCCUUAUGCAUGUGUGUGUGUGUAUCUGUAUCUCCUUAUGCAUGUGUGUUUGUAUCUGUAUCUCCUUAUGCAUGUGUGUGUGUCUCAGUAUGUGUGUGUCAGUAUGCCUGUAUGUGUGUAUGUCUGUUUCAGUAUUUGUAUCUGUUAGUAUGUGUGUAUCUUUCUGUUUUGUGUCUGUGUGUGUAUUCCUGUGGGCGGGAUUUUGAGGCGGGCCCCCGGGAGCCCAGACUUUGAGCUGUGUUAGGGCCCCCAAAAUUUUUGAUGGCGGCCCGGGUGUAGGGUGAGUUGUUUGUGGUGUGGUGUUUUGUGUAAAUAGGUCGGUUUGUGUUGUGUUGUGUUUGUUAUGUAGUACGUGUGGUUAGGGGCUGUAGAGAGUGUGUGUGUAGUUAUGUAGUGUGUAUAGUGGCAUAAUGUGUGUAUAAGGGAUUUAGUGAGUAUGUGUAUAGGGGCUAUAUUGUGUAUAGUGGUAUGGAGAUAACCCUCAGUCUGCACCUGGUAUAUCCUGCUGUAAGGUGCAGUGUGCCGGGUUCAUGAGAGGACCCUCAGCCCCCACGGGACCCAGGGAACGGGGGACACUACUAAAGCGGGCUAUUGUGAUUAUGAUGUUUAGAGUAACCCUUUCAUUUACAAAUCAGUUCCAAGUUUAUUUGUUAAAACUGGGGACAAUUAAUAAGGGAAAGGGGUUUUGUUCCUUGUUUGGUUCUUAGCAAGUGGAGACACAGGUUACAACAGACCUGAGCGAACAUCACUUCUUUACUUGGGAGAAAUAUGCCUGCUGUCUCCUUUAUCAUAACAACCAUACUGUGUGACUUCCAGCACUGAUGUAACUGUUUUACUCUGGAACAGAGAGCGAGCGUAAAUAACAUCUGGCCACAUGGACAGCGUCUGUCACUUGGUUAAGCACACAUACAUCCACUAGUGGGAGUGUCAGAACUGCCGGAGUUUAUUUAACACUACAGGACCAGAUACAGAUUAGAGGCUUAACAGAGUAUCAAAAGACAGAACAUCCGAGACAUCCACAGCAGAGCAGAUCCAAAGGAAGAGGACUAUAAAGACAUUUUAUUGCUUCGUCUAGAUAUAAAUAUAGAAUACCAGUUUGGGCUGCACUUAUAACAAGAAUACUUUGUAAUCCUUCUUAGUUUUUGCAGAACGGACAUCAUCUGCGGCUGUCCUGGUCAAAGUGACCAUGAAUUCUUCAAGAAGGUAAGAAGCAGGAGCACUAUCCUGUCCGAAAAAUACCGAAUUCUCUUUCUGUGAUACAUUU